rnacentral:tRNA from 1 species
GCCUUCGUGGUGUAGUGGCAGCACGCUCGACUCGUAACCGAGAGAACGUGGUUCGAUUCCUGGCAAAGACG